rnacentral:rRNA from 1 species
UACGUAGGGCGCAAGCGUUGUCCGGAAUUAUUGGGCGUAAAGAGCUCGUAGGCGGCUUGUCACGUCGGGUGUGAAAGACCGGGGCUUAACCCCGGUUCUGCAUUCGAUACGGGCUGGCUAGAGUGUGGGUAGGGGAGAUCGGAAUUCCUGGUGUAGCGGUGAAAUGCGCAGAUAUCAGGAGGAACACCGGUGGCGAAGGCGGAUCUCUGGGCCAUUACUGACGCUGAGGAGCGAAAGCGUGGGGAGCGAACAGG